UGAGUUUUAAGGAUCUCUUUGAUCCCACAGACCAGCUAAUACUCUGGAUACUUUUGAGAUAUCAUCGAUGCAUUCAUACGAACAGCUGAUGUCCCUGCUUGAGUGGACUGAUCUCCCCCAUUUCUUCUGGCACUUAAUCUCCUCCCAUCCUUUGAAGGAAAGUUCCAGUUCCUGCAGAUGUCCUUUGUUAGGAAGAAAUGGAAGUUUUCUGCCUUUUAAUCCAAGGUACUGUAAACUGCAAGCACUCAUCGACAGCAGAAUGAACUUUCCUGUGAGUACAAACUCAUCAUUCAGCUCUAAUGAUCCAGAGGAAAGUUUCAGACUAAUCCAUACAGGAAAAACGGCCGUGUCACCUCAGGACGUCAGUCAGAAUAGGAACUCUGUGCAAGGUCAUCCCGGUGGGAAGGAGCAGCCCUGUUUGUUCGUGAAGAAGCACCUAAUGUGUUCAAGGCCAGGUUGGAUGGGGCCCUGGGCAGCCUGAUCUGGUGGUUGGCAACCCUGCCCACAGCAGGGAGGUGGAACUGGGUGCUCUGUGAGAUCCCUUCCAACCUAAGCCUGUCUGUGUUUCUGUGAUUCUUUGAUGUAUCUGAAAGUUUUGAAGCCAAGACCAUUGGUCCUGCCAAAGUGAAGAGUAUGUGCCCAGGUGAUCCCAAAGUCCACGUGAGUCCUGUGGAAUUCAGGAGUGGAUGUGAAGUCCUCACAGAGAGCCUCACAGAAAAAUAAAAUGAUACGGAACAUAAAGCGUCCGGUUAUUCACUCAAUUAUCUUCUCAACAGCGGAAUGUCCUUAUCACAAAAGAAAACAAUGGAAGGAAAUCACCUUUCUCAUGAAAACUGCUGAGAGAUUCCCCACUGCAAGGAGAAAACUGGUGACAGAAGGGCUCUGCAUCAAAAAGUAAAGGGAGAACACGGGAGAAAACGACCCUCCUGCACCCAGAUUUUGUCACUUGAUCUAUGUGGAUUGGGAAAGUUAGCAUAAGUUCAUCUGAUUUACGCCUCCAGAAACAUCGCAGCCAUGCUCACUUGGUUUGAUCAGUGUCACUCAUGGGACCUACGUACCCCUGUGCCUCCCCUGGUGUUCUCUGAGCAACGUGAGUAGACGGACAGCUUGGGAAACUUCAGGAACGAAGGAGAAGAUGUUUAAGGGCAGAAAGUGAGGCAUAAGUUUAAUCAGUACAAAAUAUACCAGACAGUCUUUUAGUAUACGUAAUCUAGGAUGACGCCGAUGCUGACUGUGGGUCCAGGUGUUGGCUGUGAGCUGAAGGGAGUGUGGGGGCAAUGUGUUCAGUUUAUGGACUCCCUGGAGAGGAGUGCAGGUACAAAGUCCUGAAUCACUCUCACUGUGGUUUGUUUUUUGUUUUCCAUAUGAUUUUAUGGUUAAAAAUGAGAAAAGAUUUGCUAAGUCUAUCUAUGUAAAUUUCUCAUCUCCAAACCUGUAAUUCCAUAUUUUCCAUUUAAAGAACAGUUUUUCCUUUUUAUUUUAAGUAAACAAACAAAUAAAUAGAAAAUCAAGCCCCUUAACUAAUUAAUGGUGGCUUUUUGGCAUCACUGACUCUCAUAAACUUUGUCAGUGUCUGAUGGCAAUAAAUAGGAUUAUCUGUCUUUUACUCUGGGGAUAAGUAAACGUUGAGUAAUAUCAGUGGUCUUCUCAUAAACUUGUUGAAGACCGUUCUAGAACUAGAAAAUUGUGUGGGGUUACUUAAUAUUUACAGUAACAUGACACAGACUUCAUUAUCACAAGUCAAAUAAAUUCAUAUCCAUGGAAUAAUCAGUAAUUUCCUGUGGAGGCUGCUGGAGAUUAUUUUGGCUGGGGAGAACCUCCAUUUCCAGUUUUUCUUACUGAUUCAGUUGGGCUUACAGGAAUAAGCAAGGUCUUGCUGUAAGCGCUGGAUACACUGACCAAAGCACUGGGGGAGUAUGAUAUUUUCCAGGCUGUUGUUUGAGUGGUGUUAAGAAAAGCUAUAUUGAAAUGUAAGCUCUUCGUAAGGGUGCGCAGAUGGUAUUCUCUGAUUGCUA
ensembl:lncRNA